rnacentral:rRNA from 1 species
AGGUGGGAGGCUUUGAAGUGUGGACGCCAGUCUGCAUGGAGCCGGCCUUGAAAUACCACCCUUUAAUGUUUGAUGUUCUAACGUUGGCCCGUAAUCCGGGUUGCGGACAGUGUCUGGUGGGUAGUUUGACUGGGGCGGUCUCCUCCUAAAGAGUAACGGAGGAGCACGAAGGUUGGCUAAUCCUGGUCGGACAUCAGGAGGUUAGUGCAAUGGCAUAAGCCAGCUUGACUGCGAGCGUGACGGCGCGAGCAGGUGCGAAAGCAGGUCAUAGUGAUCCGGUGGUUCUGAAUGGAAGGGCCAUCGCUCAACGGAUAAAAGGUACUCCGGGGAUAACAGGCUGAUACCGCCCAAGAGUUCAUAUCGACGGCGGUGUUUGGCACCUCGAUGUCGGCUCAUCACAUCCUGGGGCUGAAGUAGGUCCCAAGGGUAUGGCUGUUCGCCAUUUAAAGUGGUACGCGAGCUGGGUUUAGAACGUCGUGAGACAGUUCGGUCCCUAUCUGCCGUGGGCGCUGGAGAACUGAGGGGGGCUGCUCCUAGUACGAGAGGACCGGAGUGGACGCAUCACUGGUGUUCGGGUUGUCAUGCCAAUGGCACUGCCCGGUAGCUAAAUGCGGAAGAGAUAAGUGCUGAAAGCAUCUAAGCACGAAACUUGCCCCGAGAUGAGUUCUCCCUGACUCCUUGAGGGUCCUGAAGGAACGUUGAAGACGACGACGUUGAUAGGCCGGGUGUGUAAGCGCAGCGAUGCGUUGAGCUAACCGGUACUAAUGAACCGUGAGGCUUAACCUUACAACGCCGAAG